rnacentral:sRNA from 1 species
AAGGCGUCAAACUGGUGUCCAUCGGAGCUGAAGAAAUCGUGGAUGGGAAUGUGAAGAUGACCCUGGGCAUGAUCUGGACCAUCAUCCUGCGCUUUGCCAUCCAGGACAUCUCCGUGGAAGAGACUUCAGCCAAGGAAGGGCUGCUCCUGUGGUGUCAGAGAAAGACAGCCCCUUACAAAAAUGUCAACAUCCAGAACUUCCACAUAAGCUGGAAGGAUGGCCUCGGCUUCUGUGCCUUGAUCCACCGACACCGGCCCGAGCUGAUUGACUACGGGAAGCUGCGGAAGGAUGAUCCACUCACAAAUCUGAAUACGGCUUUUGACGUGGCAGAGAAGUACCUGGACAUCCCCAAGAUGCUGGAUGCCGAAGACAUCGUUGGAACUGCCCGACCGGAUGAGAAAGCCAUCAUGACUUACGUGUCUAGCUUCUACCACGCCUUCUCUGGAGCCCAGAAGAUGUGUAGGCACGCUAAGGCCGGAUGGGAAGGCCGUGUGACCUAAUGUUUCAUGUCACGGCCACGCCUUCUCGGGUGUGCAGAAGGCGGAGACAGCAGCCAAUCGCAUCUGCAAGGUGUUGGCCGUCAAC